CAAGGCCAGGUUGAUCAAGGUGCUUAGCCCCACAAUUUCUAAUCAGAAAAGCUCUAGACAAUCUGGCAUGGCUAGGUUGGAUUGAGCUGCAGAUCAACAAAGUUUCAACUGAAACACGCUUGAGACAAUCUAGCACAGGCAGUUCAGAUCAAGCUGCAGAUCAACACAGUUUCAACUGAGACAUGCUUGAGACAAUCUAGCACAGGCAGGUCAGAUCAAGCUGCAGAUCGACACAGUUUCAACUAAGACAUGCUUGAGACAAUCUAGCACAGGCAGGUCAGAUCACGCUGCACAUCAACACAGUUUCAACUAAGACAUGCUUGAGACAAUCUAGCACAGGCAGGUCAGAUCAAGCUGCAGAUCAACACAGUUUCAACUUAGACAAGCUUGAGACAAUCUAGCAAAGGCAGGUCAGAUCACGCUGCAGAUCAACACAGUUUCAACAGAAACACACUUGAGACAAUUUAGCACAGGCAGGUCAGAUCAAGCUGCAGAUCGACACAGAAUGAACUAAGACAUGCUUGAGACAAUCUAGCAAAGGCAGGUCAGAUCAAGCUGCAGAUCGACACAGUUUCAACUGAAACACGCUUGAGACAAUCUGGCACAGGCAGGUCAGAUCAAGCUGCAGAUCGACACAGAAUGAAAAAAGACAUGCUUGAGACAAUCUAGCAAAGGCAGGUCAGAUCACGCUGCAGAUCGAAACAGUUUCAACGGAAACACGCUUGAGACAAUCUAGCACAGGCAGGUCAGAUCAAGCUGCAGAUCAACACAGUUACAACUGAGACAAGCUUGAGACAAUCUGGCACAGGCAGGUCAGAUCAAGCUGCAGAUCAACACAGUUACAACUGAGACAAGCUUGAGACA